GCGGGUAUAGUUUAGUGGCAAAAUGAAUGCUUCCCAAGCAUUAGUUGCGAGUUCGAUUCUCGCUACCCGCU
rnacentral:tRNA from 8 species